rnacentral:rRNA from 1 species
UGGGGAAUAUUGCACAAUGGGGGAAACCCUGAUGCAGCAACGCCGCGUGAAGGAUGAAGGCCCUCGGGUCGUAAACUUCUAUCGAUGGGGACGAACAAAAUGACGGUACCCAAGUAAGAAGCCCCGGCUAACUACGUGCCAGCAGCCGCGGUAAUACGUAGGGGGCAAGCGUUAUCCGGAUUUACUGGGCGUAAAGGGUGAGUAGGCGGUUUUAUAAGUCAUAUGUGAAAGCCCGGGGCUUAACCCCGGGACUGCAUAAGAAACUAUAAAACUCGAGUGCAGGAGAGGUAAGCGGAAUUCCUAGUGUAGCGGUGAAAUGCGUAGAUAUUAGGAAGAACACCGGUGGCGAAGGCGGCUUACUGGACUGUAACUGACGCUGAGUCACGAAAGCGUGGGGAGCGAACA